AACUUGUUAGGAUAAGCAAUUCCACUGAUUUGUGGUGUCAGUAGUACUAGAAGUACAAGUUC
rnacentral:tRNA from 1 species